rnacentral:lncRNA from 1 species
UUCUACAAUGUAGAAAAUAGUCCAAAUAAAGAAAAACCCUUGAAUGAGUAGGUGUGUCCUAACUUUUGACUGGUACUGUACAUUUACUUUAUUUUUACUGCAACUUUAGGCAAAGUGCAGAAAUGGAUUCUUACCAAUCUCCAUUAUGUCCACAAACCAGGUGAGGUAGCUAGCAGCCAAGACAUUGAGUUUAAAUCCUUAAUGCGGUUCAGUCCCAAGUAAUGAAUUUAGCUGUAAAAAUACAGUAACUAGUUGUAGAUUCAUCUUAUUUUCACCUCAACUAGACAGAAACCUCUAAGAAUGUCCUAAAACCGUCCUUGGGGACAUCCCUGGAACAAACCGGGAACUAAACAAAACCUGGAAGGGACCAUGACUGUUAAAAGGUCAUGAACAGUUAAAAUUAUGUUUGUCAUGAAAUGUGAUGAUAUUUGAAGGAAACCAGAUCAAAGUAUAAAAACGGACUGUUUCUUCCACAUUGAUAAAGGGUUGAUCAUAAAGUUACUGGUCUCCUCCCCCUAAGUCAAACACUUGGAUUCAUUAUUAAGAGGACAAGGUGACAUCACUUUAACUCUCAUUUUAAUACACCAAAUCGGUAACAUGAUAUUCUCUUAACUAAUUAAAAUAAGUACAGCGUUGUAACCAACAUCGGAGAAGGCGUGUUGCUAAAGGGGCGUGGUUUAUACAGCUAGAUAGCUACUCUACUGUUGACACAAUUUGAUGAUUUUACUGCAACACAGCUCACUGCAUCCAAGUUGCUUUAAGUUGAGCUGUCAGUCAAGGCGAGCUCAUGAAUAUAAGCUCUCCGCCCACUCAGCCUGUCUUUUCUAACUUCCUGGUAGUUAGUCGUGAGAGGAAAAAGUACUUUUUAAAAUGACUGUUCAGGAACUUUAAACUCAAAUAGCUUAAAAUUGUGCCUUUCAAAGUAAAAUAUUCUAAAUGGCAUUUGACACCUGCGUUUUCACGUGCUCAAAUGUUGUCAUGUGUCGCGUCAUGGUAUCACGUGUUAAUAUUUCGCAGCUCCAUAUUGUCACAUUUAUUUCACACGUUAUCACAUUAACUUCACAUUAAAUCACAGUGAUCACGUGAGAUCACACGAGACCACAUGUUCUGUAAGGAACUGCACUCUCUGUUAAGCUGAGAUGAGGGCAACUUGACUCUCUUUGUAGCUGAGAUGAGGGCAAUUUGACUCUCUUUUGAGCUGAGAUGAGGGCAAUUUGACUCUCUUUUGAGCUGAGAUGAGGGCAAUUUGCCUCUCUUUUGAGCUGAGAUGAGGGCAAUUUGUCUCUCUUUUGAGCUGAGAUGAGGGCAAUUUGACUCUGUUGAGCUGAGAUGAGGGCAAUUUGACUCUCUGUUGAGCUGAGAUGAGGGCAAUUUGACUCUCUGUUGAGCUGAGAUGAGGGCAAUUUAACUCUCUUUUGAGCUGAGAUGAGGGCAAUUUGCCUCUCUUUUGAGCUGAGAUGAGGGCAAUUUGUCUCUCUUUUGAGCUGAGCUGAGGGCAAUUUGACUCUCUGUUGAGCUGAGGGCAAUUUGACUCUCUGUUGAGCUGAGAUGAGGGCAAUUUGACUCUCUGUUGAGCUGAGAUGAGGGCAAUUUGACUCUGUUGAGCUGAGAUGAGGGCAAUUUGACUCUCUGUUGAGCUGAGAUGAGGGCAAUUUGACUCUCUUUUGAACUGAGAUGAGGGCAAUUUGACUCUCUGUUGAGCUGAGAUGAGGGCAAUUUGACUCUCUGUUGAGCUGAGAUGAGGGCAAUUUGACCCACUGUUGAGCUGAGAUGAGGGCAAUUUGACUCUCUGUUGAGCUGAGAUGAGGGCAACUUGACUCUGUUGAGCUGAGAUGAGGGCAAUUUCACUCUGUUGAGCUGAGAAGAGGGCAAUUCGACUCUCUGUUGAGCUGAGAUGAGGGCAGUAGAAGGGAGGCCCCUAAAUGGCAGGUAAUCCAAGAAAGAAAACAAGUAGGUGGUCAGUACUAUGUGUACAGUCAGUUGCCACUGUUCUGUUCCUCCUAUGAACAUCUUCUUUUCCAAAAACCCUUAUGGAAAGAGUAGUACUACUGUUGACCCAAAGCUGUGAUUGAAUGUACAUUGUAAUGAAUGUUAUUAUGAUGAUAAAUAUAUGGUUGAUGAUUCCUGGUAGUCUAUAUAUCCAGAUCCCAGAUCUGUUCACCGGUACGCUGUCUUGCCUACUCUAAUAGUUAUUCUCCCAUUGUCACACUAGCACAAACAGUUCUGGGAUCAGGCUAUGUGCAAUAGGGGUAGGACACCGUCAACAACAGAAACCUGCUGCUUUAUAGCCUGAGUGCCAGUCUUUUUUUUUUAUCUGCAAUCAUGCCAACUCCUCGUCACUCGUUGUCACUGCGACAAUGAGCAAUGGAGUUGGCAAGAGCAACAAAAAAAAUAAAAAACCAGAUCUGGGACCAGGCUAGCUGCGUUACUUUUCAGAACAGCUUCCAGUACCUUUCAACGAAGAAGAUUCACAGCAAUAGAAUGACUGCACCUAAACUGACCUGUACUGUUUGUCAGAGUCGGGGUCAAGUCCGUUUGAAUUCCAG